UAUGUGAUCGUCUCUCGCAUAUCAAUAAGCGGAGGAAAAGAAACUAACAAGGAUUCCCCUAGUAACGGCGAGUGAAGCGGGAAGAGCUCAAAUUUGAAAUCUUAAAGGGUUUCCCUUUACGAAUUGUAGUUUAAAGAAGUGUUUUCUGUUGAGGUUUUGGUAAAAGUUCUUUGGAAUAGGACAUCAUAGAGGGUGAGAAUCCCGUAUUUGACCUUUACUUUCAACUUUGUGAUACACUUUCAAAGAGUCGGAUUGUUUGGGAAUGCAGUCCAAAAUGGGUGGUAAAUUUCAUCUAAAGCCAAAUACUGGCGAGGGACCGAUAGCGGACAAGUACCGUGAGGGAAAGAUGAAAAGAACUUUGAAAAGAGAGUUAAACAGUACGUGAAAUUGUCAAAAGGGAAGCGUUUGACACCAGUGUUGUUUUUCUGAAAAUCAAUUAAAGAACUGUUUAUGCUAAGCUGUUUAGACUUUAUCAGCUAUCUGCUUAGUUUUGAGCUUUUCUUUAAUGCACCUUUCAGUUAACAAGUCAACAUCAAUUUCUUUUGCUGUAAAAAAGCUUGAGGAAGGUGGCUUGAGAUUCGUCUUAAGUGUUUAUAGCCUCUUGCCUAUGCAGUCGGAGAGAUUGAGGUCUGCAGCGUAGAUCCUUCGGGGCUAAAUGCAUUUGUGCUAAGUUAUAGCAUUUUAUAGACAACUUGUUGACUAUGAUUUGUCUUGUAGCUUACUCGCUUAUGUUAUUUUACCUACGCUUAGGAUGUUGAUCUACAGAGCGAGAGU
rnacentral:rRNA from 1 species